rnacentral:rRNA from 1 species
GACGAACGCUGGCGGCGUGCUUAACACAUGCAAGUCGAACGGACAGGCCCUGCUUUUGUUGGUUGCUCGAGUGGCGAACGGGGGAGUAAAACGUGAGUAACCUGCCCUUGACUUUGGGAUAACUUCAGGAAAAUGGGGCUAAUACCGGAUAGGAGCUCCUGCUGCAUGGUGUGGGUUGGAAAGUUUCGGCGGUUGGGGAUGGACUCGCGGCUUAUCAGCUUGUUUGUGGGGUAGUGGCUUACCAAGGCUUUGACGGGUAGCCGGCCUGAGAGGGUGACCGGGCACAUUGGGACUGAGAUACGGCCCAGACUCCUACGGGAGGCAGCAGUGGGGAAUAUUGCACAAUGGGCGGAAGCCUGAUGCAGCAACGCCGCGUGCGGGAUGACGGCCUUCGGGUUGUAAACCGCUUUCGCCGGUGACGAAGCGUGAGUGACGGUAAUGGGUAAAGAAGCACCGGCUAACUACGUG